CUCGGGUAUACAAAGCUGAUCUCCAGGAAGAAGACAGAUUAUUUAUAUAAGAAAGCCAGGACUGCCGGGCGUGGUGGCUCACACCUGUAAUCCCAGCACUUUGGGAGGCUGGGGUGGGCGGAUCACCUGAGGUCAGGAGUUGGAGACCAGUCUGAUCAACACGGUGAAACCCUGUCUCUCCUAAAAACGCAUAAAUUAGCCGGGCGUGUUGGUGCACGCCUGUAAUCCCAGCUACUCGGGAGGCUGAGGCAGGAGAACCGCUUGAACCCGGGAGGCAGAGGUUUCGCUUGAACCCGGGAGGCAGAGGUUUCGGUGAGCUGAGAUCGAGCUAUUGCACUCCAGCCUGGGCAACAAGAGCGAAACUCCACCUCAAAAAAAAAAAAAAAAAAAGCCAGGACCUCCUGGGAGGGAGGAGACAGAAGUCCCCUUGGUGAACCUCUCCUCCUUGAUAUUAGUAACUAGGGGGCUAUUUUUGGUUGACAGGGUACCUCCUAUUCUCCCAAGGUGUAAUGGUAAGAAAGGAUACCCAAGGACUAGAGAAAAAAACAAAAACAAAACAACAACCAACUUCCCUGAGGAAGGGGAGUGUGGAUUGGUGACUCAGGCUCUGAAAAAGUUCCCAGCUUUUUCUUGAAACUGCAUGGCUUUGGACAGAAGCGUCGGCAUCAUUUGUGGAGACUGCGGAGGGCCAUCUCUUCACAGGAACACCUAUAUGUGGUUUAACGAGGAGCAAUGGCAGCGAAGAACACAAGGUGAG
rnacentral:lncRNA from 10 species